CGCAAAUACACAGACACACUCGACUGACCAAGUGUGUGUGGAGGGGAAGAUGUUUGCCCAGUGAAUUAAGUUUGGGUCAAAAACAGAUAGGGUAGCAUAGGGUAGCAGUGUUUCAGCCUUGUAUGGUGCAUUUCUAUAGGUGUAUAGAAACAGUAAGGAGAAGGAGUGUCCCGUCUCUCUUCAAGGGCAUAGUUUUGAACAUUGUCGACAGCAUAUAAACUUAAGUAAACAUGUAUAGAAUAUGGGCAAGGUCCAUAUUGUAGGAAUAUGACUCUUGAUAAAUAUAGUUGCAUCUUUUGACUUUGUUUCUGACAAACAUGUUUGACACACUCAAAUAAUGGACUGAGAUUAUGUCAAAUAGAUUUAUAUUUAAAAGGCUCGUUUCAGUUUAGGUACACAAAUAAUGGACUGAGAUUAUUUCAAAUAGAUUUUUUUUUUAAAAGGCUCAUUUCAGAUACACAAUUUCAGUACAAUGUUGUCGUUUGCUUUUACAGUUCAAACAAAGCUAAAACUCAUAAGCAUCAAAUUAGACCAGAAUGUCACAUCAAAAUCUUCUUAUCAAAAAUAUCUAAUUUUCUCUUCUAAUCUAUUGCAGAAUUCUCUGGAAUUAUUUGGCCGUAUGGAAGCACUGCAAACAUACCUCUUCUCCUAGUUUCAUACUGAGCAACUCCUCAAAAAUGAUCCCAUGGUUGGUUGCUUGAGAUAAGUGGAUGUUAAAGUAGUAGAUGAGUUCCAUGAAGUUCUGAUGGUUAGCUGCCUAUUAAUGUUUACAGACAAUGACAUCAUCUGUUGGACUUCAGACAUUCUUCAAGAGGACUUCCAUCGGUGAGCAGAGAGGAUCCAGUACAGUAAUGUGACAAUAAAUGCCAUAACCUGCAAACAAAUGAAAUGUAUUCAAGCCUUAUGCUAUGCUUUAAAGUUAAAUCACAUAGAAUAAUCUCAUGGUUUAUGUUUGAUCCAAACAAAAUGUAUUUUAACUGCAAUGUGGCAACCAGUAAGUUUGGAUGAAAUUCCGGGUGACACUCUGUAAUUUGCAGGCAAAAACGUGGAUCUAUAUGCAGGGUUUUAAAAAAUGAAAACAAACAUAAAACAAGAACGAGGAAAGUCUAAGGAAAAUAAAUUUUUCAUA